rnacentral:antisense_RNA from 1 species
UUCUAUGGCGGGCCGUGUGAGGCAGGCUUCGGCCUGGCCGGCAUCUUCGUGGGCCGGUUUCUCACCCUCGCACGGUCCGCCUCCAAA